GGAGCAGGUCGGGCGAUCGCUGGCCAGGUUGUUCGCAAUCUGGCGGGAGGAAGGUCCGGACUCCGCAGGGCAGGAUGCUGGCUAACGGCCAGGCGCAGCAAGCCGCAAGGCCCAGGGCGACGGAAAGUGGCACAGAAAACAUACCGCCAAAGGUGGCACCUCGCCGGUGCUCCGGUCUUCGGGCCGGAACUCGGUAGAAGCUGCCCGGCAAGGGUGAAAAGGCGAGGUAAGAGCUCACCGCAGGACCGGCGACGGGACUGGCAGGCCAAACCCCAUCCGGAGCAACACCAAAUAGGCACGCGCGCGGUUCGCCGCACGGGGCGGCCCGCCCCGGCGUGCGGGUAGGUGGCUGGAGCGCCCGGGUAACCGUGCGCCUAGAGGAAUGAUCGUCAGGCCGCGCGAGCGGCCCACAGAAUCCGGCCUACAGACCUGCUCCACUC
rnacentral:RNase_P_RNA from 1 species